rnacentral:rRNA from 1 species
AUUGAACGCUAGCGGGAUGCCUUACACAUGCAAGUCGAACGGAGUGGCGAACGGGUGAGUAAUGUAUAGGAACGUGCCCAGUAGCGGGGGAUAACUACGCGAAAGCGUAGCUAAUACCGCAUACUAUUGGAGCGGCCGAUGUGGGAUUAGAUAGUAGUUGGGGUACGGGCUCACCAAGGCGACCAUCCGUAGCUGGUUUGAGAGGACGACCAGCCACACUGGGACUGGGACACGGGCCAGAAUCUGACGGGAGGCAGCAGUGGGGAAUUUUUGACAAGGGGGGAAAGCAUGAUCCAGCUAUCCCGCGUGAGCGAAGAAGGCCUUCGGGUUGUAAAGCACUUUUGGCAGGGAAGCGGUACCUGCAGAAUAAGCACCGGCUAACUACGUGCCAGCAGCCGCGGUAAUAC